rnacentral:ncRNA from 2 species
CCCAUUGGGCGAAAGGGAAUCCGGUUCCUAUUCCGGAACCCGGCAGCGGAACCGUUAAUAAUUCGGGCCCUCGCAAGAGAGUUCGUCGGGGCAACCCAAAAGGACCCGGAGACGCCGUCGGGAGAUCCGGGAAGAGUUUUCUUUUCUGCAUGAGCGUUCGAGUUCCAUGGAAUCCUCUAGCAGGGAGAUAUGGUUUGGAACGCGAAGAGCACCGCAGUUGCGGCGGUGUCCGGAUCUUCCCCUCGGACCUUGAAAAUCCGGGAGAGGGCCACGUCGAGGCGUCGCGCCGG